AUGGAGCUUGUCUCUAAGAUCACCCACAUCAUGUACCAGAAUGCUUCUCUGUUCUCUCUUGUUGCUGUUGGCAGAAGAGACGUCCUGGCUGUUGGCAAUCCCUUCAAGAAAAUGGACACUUGGAAAGGGAAAUGUGAAGCUAUGGAGCGGAAGUUAUCUACUCUUCAGAAGUAUUUGGCUGAGUUGCGGAAAAAGGACCCUCGUUCAUUCCCUCGAGGCUUGGCUCAGAUCAAGGUGGACGUCUCUAGGCUUCACCACUUAACACCCUUGGAUUGA